UGUUUAUGACAAUUCUAUCCUAAACCUGAAUUUCUGUUGAAAAAAUUUAAUGUGGAUUUGGCUUCUGAGAU